rnacentral:rRNA from 1 species
CCUACGGGUGGCAGCAGUGAGGAAUAUUGGUCAAUGGGCGUAAGCCUGAACCAGCCAAGUCGCGUGAGGGAUGAAGGUUCCAUGGAUCGUAAACCUCUUUUAUAAGGGAAUAAAGUGCGGGACGUGUCCCGUUUUGUAUGUACCUUAUGAAUAAGCAUCGGCUAACUCCGUGCCAGCAGCCGCGGUAAUACGGAGGAUGCGAGCGUUAUCCGGAUUUAUUGGGUUUAAAGGGUGCGUAGGCGGAUUUUUAAGUCAGCGGUAAAAUGUCCGGGCUCAACCCGGGCCGGCCGUUGAAACUGGGUGUCUUGAGUGGGCGAGAAGUAUGCGGAAUGCGUGGUGUAGCGGUGAAAUGCAUAGAUAUCACGCAGAACUCCGAUUGCGAAGGCAGCAUACCGGCGCCCGACUGACGCUGAGGCACGAAAGCGUGGGGAUCGAACAGGAUUAGAUACCCUAGUAGUC